rnacentral:rRNA from 1 species
CAGUCGAACGAAGUGCUUCGGACUUAGUGGCGAACGGGUGCGUAACGCGUGGGAACCUGCCCUUAGGUUCGGAAUAACAGUUAGAAAUGACUGCUAAUGCCGGAUAAUGUCUUCGGACCAAAGAUUUAUCGCCUUUGGAUGGGCCCGCGUAGGAUUAGGUAGUUGGUGAGGUAAAGGCUCACCAAGCCGACGAUCCUUAGCUGGUCUGAGAGGAUGAUCAGCCACACUGGGACUGAGACACGGCCCAGACUCCUACGGGAGGCAGCAGUAGGGAAUAUUGGACAAUGGGCGAAAGCCUGAUCCAGCAAUGCCGCGUGAGUGAUGAAGGCCUUAGGGUUGUAAAGCUCUUUUACCAGGGAUGAUAAUGACAGUACCUGGAGAAUAAGCUCCGGCUAACUCCGUGCCAGCAGCCGCGGUAAUACGGAGGGAGCUAGCGUUGUUCGGAAUUACUGGGCGUAAAGCGCGCGUAGGCGGCUUUUCAAGUCAGGGGUGAAAUCCCGGGGCUCAACCCCGGAACUGCCCUUGAAACUGGAUGGCUAGAAUACUGGAGAGGUGAGUGGAAUUCCGAGUGUACAGGUGAAAUUCGUAGAUAUUCGGAAGAACACCAGUGGCGAAGGCGACUCACUGGACAGUUAUUGACGCUGAGGUGCGAAAGCGUGGGAGCAAACAGGAUUAGAUACCCUGGUAGUCCACGCCGUAAACGAUGAUGACUAGUUGUCCGG